rnacentral:rRNA from 1 species
GAUCCUGGCUCAGGACGAACGCUGGCGGCGUGCUUAACACAUGCAAGUCGAACGAAGCUGCAUUGAUGAAGUUUUCGGAUGGAAUUGAUGUAGACUGAGUGGCGGACGGGUGAGUAACGCGUGAGCAACCUGCCUACAAGAGGGGGACAACAGCUGGAAACGGCUGCUAAUACCGCAUAAGACCACAACUUCACAUGGAGAAGGGGUCAAAGAUUUAUCGCUUGUAGAUGGG